GGGGGAUAUUGCACAAUGGGCGCAAGCCUGAUGCAGCAACGCCGCGUGAGGGAAGAAGGUCUUCGGAUUGUAAACCUCUGUUUUUGGUGACGAAACAAAUGACGGUAGCCAAGGAGAAAGCCACGGCUAACUACGUGCCAGCAGCCGCGGUAAUACGUAGGUGGCAAGCGUUGUCCGGAUUUACUGGGUGUAAAGGGAGCGCAGGCGGGAGAUCAAGUCAGACGUGAAAACUAUGGGCUUAACCCAUAACGUGCGUUUGAAACUGGUUUUCUUGAGUGAAGUAGAGGCAGGCGGAAUUCCGAGUGUAGCGGUGAAAUGCGUAGAUAUUCGGAGGAACACCAGUGGCGAAGGCGGCCUGCUGGGCUUUUACUGACGCUGAGGCUCGAAAGUGUGGGGAGCAAAC
rnacentral:rRNA from 1 species